GCCUGCGUAAGCUAACUGGAUAGGCUGCCGCGACCCUAACGCGGCCAGCGAGGUUCAAAUCCUCGCGCGGGCACCA
rnacentral:tRNA from 1 species